rnacentral:rRNA from 1 species
ACGAGUUUGAUCCUGGCUCAGGAUGAACGCUAGCGGGAGGCUUAACACAUGCAAGUCGAGGGGCAGCACGUCUUCGGAUGGUGGCGACCGGCGAACGGGUGCGUAACGCGUAUGCAACCUACCCUUAACAGGAGAAUAGCCCAGAGAAAUUUGGAUUAAUACUCCAUAGUAUUACAGAUUCGCAUGUUUCUGUAAUUAAAGUUCCAACGGUUAAGGAUGGGCAUGCGUGACAUUAGCUUGUUGGUGAGGUAACGGCUCACCAAGGCAACGAUGUCUAGGGGUUCUGAGAGGAUGAUCCCCCACACUGGUACUGAGACACGGACCAGACUCCUACGGGAGGCAGCAGUGAGGAAUAUUGGACAAUGGAGGCAACUCUGAUCCAGCCAUCCCGCGUGCAGGAAGACGGCCCUAUGGGUUGUAAACUGCUUUUAUACAGGAAUAAACCCCUCUACGUGUAGAGGGCUGAAGGUACUGUAAGAAUAAGCACCGGCUAACUCCGUG